rnacentral:lncRNA from 1 species
AUCCUAUAACUUAUCAUAUUAAUAUUUUAACAUCUAUACCAUCAUGGAUGAAUUAUACAAACAUAUUUUAUUGAUGAAAACGUCAUAAUGAAUGAUAGAAUUGAAUUAAUUCAAGUUAAUCUUUUGUGCUCUAUUUGAAUUACGCAAAUCUUAAAUUGUAAAUUUAAAUUUAUAAAAGAAGGAAUGCAUAGGUUGAAAGUGCCUUUACCAAACUAGCAAGGUCUGUAUAUGAGAGUAACAAUUGUUGACCAUUUUGGGAAUCUCUAUGUGUAUAUUUUGUUUCCCAUAAUAUAUAAGUCAUAUUGUUCUCUCAUAAAAGCUUGUAAAUCAGAGCUAGUGCAUCAUGAUAAAAUGUUUACUUGAGUGUAAUAUAUGACUUUUACUGCCCGUAGUUGUUCGAAGAAACGUCUACAUUCCUUUACGUAUAAUAAUAUCGUUUCUUUUAAUUUGUUUUUGUUAGUUAUUCAUAUACUUGCUCUUAAUGUUUGUUAAAAAUUUUGGAAUCUUCGUUUUCUUCGAACGACUUCAACUACUGUCCAUUAAUAUUAUUGUCUCUAUGCUAGGAUGUAAAUAGAAAAAAAUAAAAAAGAAAAAUUACAAUAAAAUACAUGGACAUAAAAAUAAGUAGUAAUUAUUACUUUUGUUUGGAAUUUAAAGUAUAUUGAAAUACUUUCAAAGUUUCUCUAACGAUAGUUUGUAUUAGACUACAAUAAGAUGUGUUAUUAAGAGAAAGAAUGAGAGAGAGAGAGAGAGAGAAAGAAAGAAAGAAAGAGAGAGAGAGAGAGAGAAGGAGGGAAAGAAGUUUUGAGUAUCUUAUUAUGUCUCUCAUCAUAUACAUUUUAUGAAACAAGCAAAUUUUAAAAAACGAACUGUAUGAAAUUGGUUUUAUCUAAUUGUCUGAAGGAACCAGUUGUCAUCACAAAUUUUAACUUUUGAUAAUAAUAUUUAUCCAAGGAAAUGAAUGUUAUAAUCCACGAUAUAAAAUUUUUUAUUUAUCCUUAAAUUUCUGUAAUCCAUAUCCUUUAGUAUGUUAACAUCUAUUUUGUCUGUUAUAUCUUAUAGUGGCAAUGGAUGUGAUAACUUUAAAGAGAAAUCAACACCAAAAGAUAUAAAUCUUAUAAAAUUAAGAAAAUUUGCUAAUGUGAAAUUAAGUAUUUUUGGUAACAUUGGCAAUAUUGAUGUUACUACAAAAUAAGUUAAAAACUCUUCCCGUAUUCGAAUGGAAAAAGUUUAUUUGGAAAUGUAAAACGAUCCUACUGCAGACUUGAUAAAUGUCAAAGAAACAGUCUUCAUAUAUUCACCAAACUACAUAGUUUAAAGAAAAAUACCUGAUUUAUACACAAUCACAAUACAAUUGGAUAUAUUAAAAAUGA